rnacentral:sRNA from 1 species
GGAUAUGAGGGGACACUGGCAGAAACCCGUCAGAUCCCACUGAUCACCAAGGCAGCCGGUCUGAUCAUCGGGCCAGGUGGGUGUCCCGUCUUCUUCCACCAUCCAUUUCAAUACCAUUUCUAUACUUGAAGUGACAAGUUUUGAAAAGAAUGACUUCCCACAGUGAGAAGGACCAGUCAUCGGUCUAGGAUAGAUAAAUAGGAGGCAGCACCUUUGACAGUAUAGGGAAUGCAGAAAAAGGAGCAGAGUCGUAAGGGCAGGAAGAAGUCAUGUUUCAGUUU